GUGCUCCCUUUAGCAGCAGCACAUAUACUCAAAUUGGAACGAUAUGGAGAAGAUUAGCAUGGCCCCUGCGCAAGGAUGAUGCACAAGUUCAUGAAGCAUUCCAUAUUUUC